rnacentral:misc_RNA from 1 species
GUCGUCAUCGUAUAGUGGUU